rnacentral:lncRNA from 1 species
GAAGGAAAUGAGGAAAAGAUCUCAUUAACAAUAUGUUUACUUAGUUAUUUAGGAAAAGAAAAGACUAAAAUGUAACCACAAUUAUUGUUAUGAUAUUAUUAUGCAGAUUGAAAAUUUCAUUAAAAUAAUUAUCUAGGAAAAUGUCCAACUUAAAAAAUCAUACUUGAAAAAGUUGUAGCUUCUGUUUUAAUAUAUAAGAUUUAUAGUAGAAAGAUUGCAUCCCUCAACAAGGCCCAUUAGAUAGCAGGUUGAUAUCACUCAAAUUACCCUAAGGAGUGAUUUAUACUCUCUCAAAUAAGAUGUCGAGUUGUAGUACUUAGGGAUUGAAUUCACAAGGAGCUAGGGAACCAAUUAGAUCUAAUAGUUAAACGAUUAAGCUAGGCUAAUAGUUUAUAAAACAAUAAAUAUAGAUAACAAAAUCAGUAAACACUAAACAAGUUGAUCAAGACUAUUCUUUAGCUUGGCAAAGAGUUGUUUGAUGGUGGUUUGCUAGAUCUAUGGUUUCUAUUCAGGUAAUCAGAAUUAUAAUGAUAGAGAGGCUAAUUGUUGCUUGCAAGAUAUUACUCAACUGGGAGUACAAAUCUAACAACUUCCGUUGUAUAGACAGUCUAAUAUCUAGAUCUUGGAUCUCAACUCUCGUUUUAUUGAUCACAAGAAAGUGU